rnacentral:rRNA from 1 species
UACGUAGGGCGCAAGCGUUGUCCGGAAUUAUUGGGCGUAAAGAGCUCGUAGGCGGUUUGUCGCGUCGGAUGUGAAAGCCCGGGGCUUAACCCCGGGUCUGCAUUCGAUACGGGCAGACUGGAGUGUGGUAGGGGAGAUCGGAAUUCCUGGUGUAGCGGUGAAAUGCGCAGAUAUCAGGAGGAACACCGGUGGCGAAGGCGGAUCUCUGGGCCAUUACUGACGCUGAGAAGCGAAAGCAUGGGGAGCGAACAGG